rnacentral:misc_RNA from 1 species
CUAUCUUUCGUUUUUGAGAUUUUUCAUGUCCCUUAGCUUAUAUUAGCCAUCGCCGCAUCGAACAGCAACCUUUUCUGUUGGCUGCUGCUGCUUCUUCUUCUUCUUCCCCUACUUUCUUUAGAUCAAGCAGAAGAUGACUAAACCACACAGAACACCGUCCGGCCGUACGAAUCUGGCUUCUUGUAUAGUAGCCACCAUCUUCUUACUCUUUCUUGUUAUCAUAAUCCUCAUCGUCUUCUUCACCGUUUUCAAGCCUAAAGACCCCAAAAUCUCCGUCAACGCCGUUCAGCUCCCUUCCUUCGCUGUCUCCAACAACACUGUCAACUU